CAGAAGCAUCGAGUCAGUGCUUACUCGCGCGCGUUUCGGUCGCACGACACGCCAGUGGUUCUCAAUCUGAAGAUUACGGCGUGUGAAGAGGAUGCGAGAAAGCUCGGCCAAACGGAAGACACGAUAAGCACGUACGGAAAUCCGUAGCGGGUUCUGAAUUUAAAACACGAACAGUCUUGACACCGUUCUAAGUGUCCGAGUCUAAUGUUAUUGGACGGUCAAUAUUAGCGCGCUUCACGUGAUGAGCGACGAGCACCAUACGGCUUCCUUUUACACGCCACCGUUUUCCCUCCUAUCGAGGAAUGCUUUAGGCAUCGCUGGAACGACGGCGUUGCCAGGGUCUACAGGUACAGAAGAAACGAAGUUAUACUCGGUAUGCAAUAUGGACCGAUGCGUACCUUGUGGAUAAAAACGAUCGAUGUAAAUCUCUCUCACCUUGAAACUACAUAGUUCGAUGGGGAGACGAUUCGUCGAAGGAUCGCGUGUACGCUUUUGACAUUUCGUGGAUUGCCGUGCGUUAGCCCCGAUUUCCUUAUGAGCGAAUCCCGCGACACCCCAGACGAAUUUAAAGCUUUUAUGAAACGAGAGGGGUCGAACCAAUGACUAAGGGUAAAAUACGAAGAAAGAGACAGACAAAAAAAGAACUGUAGAAAUAGUAGGGCGGCAGAGGACGGAGUGAGCAAAUUGAAAAGUGGAGGAACGAGGAGGGAACAGGACGACGAAAAAGGACGUAGAAAAGGGAGCACGCGGCGAAGGAGAAGAAAAGGCUCGCUUUUCAGACGGUUCAAUAGAUUUCGAUCUGAGCGACUUUUUUCUGGGCUCGAAACGAAACGACGAACAAUGGGCCAGACGGAAACCAUGGCCGAGCUUGAAGACUUCCCGUGUGUACGAUUCCACGUGCAUAUGUGUAUGCAUAAGGGUUAGAAUGAUCGUGUGCGUGUACAUCUGGAUCGACCGGGUCCUGAACGAGAACGGAAGUUUAAUGACUUCGAGUGUCGGUGAAAAUCAGGAUCAGCUGGAGGCUCGUGUUCCGCGCGCGCUUUGUCGCUUGAUGACGUAAAAAGAAAUACAGAACCCUUGUCCGAAGGUUACGAAAGUUCAUCCGGUGCCGAAUGAAACGCGCGGAUGAAGCGGAGAUAUCUAAUUUUUAUGCGUAUACCUGGAAAAGCGAAGCUGGUAAAGCGGCCAGUUCUCUCCUAUCCGUUGCUGCCGUCUGGUGGGCCCACGAGAGAGAAAGUCAGUCGACAUCGAUUACGUAUAGCAGUUGGGAGUCGAAGGUCCCCCAGCUGUUCUUCCGUGGAGACCGAUGGACCAACGCCUCCUUUGAAAGGCCUCUUGCAAGCUGAUGAUGUUUAUCCGCUGGAUCUCGCCGAAAUUGAUUGUUUCCUCCCGACUGUAAAAAACGAAACGUUCGAUGCAGAUAAAAAAGAAGGAAGGAAAAAAGAGAUGGGGAAACUGAGAAAAAAAAAAGGAAAUAUACCGUUUCACGGUUGUAACAAUAAGUCCGUAUCGUACAUUUACAUAUAUUCUAGCAUUUUUCCAUUCCUGAAGCGAUAAUAACAUUAUAAAAUAUUUAUCGAAGCAAUGCAAUGAUAAGAUUAACAGAAUUCUUUGUUCCAAACAUCGUAAUUCCUGAAUGUUUCCAAACCGUAUUAUGAAUCCAUUGUAAUUUCGAGUUAAUCCGCCUUUUAUCAUUUAAUUGGCCGUUGUUCGCGAAUAACUUUGUUUCGUACGCAUUUAAUUCGACCUCCUGCAGAAAUUUUCGAAUACUUCCAUUCAAGAACCAUUUCAGCAGAGACCGAUGUGUGCAUGGUCAACACGGCCCUCUACGGUCGAACUCAGUCGCUCAAACGAUCGAUAACAGGACAUAGUAGCGUUUCUAUUUAUAUAGAAGUGCGGUUCGACAUAACCAGAGAUACAAUCCGCGAUACGUGCCAGAUAGAAUCUUCCCAUCCAAUUUUAGUCCGUAAAGCUUCAGAGAAUUACGUUACACGCGAAAUCUCGCGGAAGAAUCACCCGAUGAACCUCGCCACCGUGCACGGAACAAUAAAGGUUUUUAAAAUUGCAUUAGAAAGUUAGAAAAUCGAAUUGUGAAUUUUCAUAAUUUUUGUUUGGUAUCAUGAUGCUUGGAAUUUAGCCGUUGUAGAUUAUACUAUGUCAGUCGUAUUAAAAAUAGUGAUUCUUGUUUUUUCUUUAUUCGUGUAGAUGAUUCACGAAUAGAUAGUCUUACUUCGAUUUCGUUAUUUCAUUCGUUUAUCCUUUUAUAGCGAUGAGCGAAGAUGUUUCCGGACUUAGACGUAAUUUAUUAACGUUACAAAUGUUCGAACCGAUUGUGUGAUACAAGUCUAUAGAACAGAAAUAUAAUGAAAAUAGAAAGAAAACUUUUCUUGUCUUUUAUAAACUCGUGCCAAAGUACUUUACCCUACGGAGAGCGCUAGUUUGCGGAAAUUCAAUUUUCUUCCUUAUAACACUAUACAAGACAGGUUCCCGAACUUAUGUUGUUUCUUUCACUUUAUCUUCCUUACUAUAAUAUCAAAAUACGUGAAGUAUAACUGGUUUUUACAAAACUGUAUUUAUCCUUUUUCUUCUUAAAAAUAGCACUUUAUAGAACUUGGAAAGUUCCAUAAAAUUCAUAUAGAUGAGAUAAAUAUAAAUAAGAGAUAAAUAUUGAUUCCCAUUUUUUAUAGACAAACACGGAAACCAAGAAACCAGCACAGGUUUACGAGAUUCAAAUUUCCAAUCGACGUUUGCCACGUGUCUCGUCGUGAAAGCAACAAAAUCUAAUUUCGGGGAAUUCGAUUGGCUUAGAAGCGUGACACCUGAUGAUAGUUUCGUUCGAAUUCCAGCGGGAGACUCGCGAUAACGAUACACGGAUCUUCUUGCCUCAGAUUACAAGUUCUUCGACGCGUUCAACCGCAAACGCGCAUAUUCUAUCAACCGCAACGGCGUUUAAGCAGGGAUUAAGUUUUAUCCGGAACCGGCUACGUCCACAUGUAACGAAUACAGUUUAAUACGUUCGAUUGUUCUCGCCUUGUUAUCUGUUUUAUUGUAUGUACGUUUGCGGAUUAUGGCGCACGAAUGUGAAACAUUAGCAUUUUUUUACGAUUAUCCGAGAAAUAUACAUUUAAUUUGUGUUAAGACGUGUUGAAAUUUACGGGUGGUAUGUUAAUUCUUCAAAUAGAACUUGAUAAAAUGGGACAAACAAGUUUCUACAGAUGCAAACCUAUCGUUUCGCAAAUAUUGAAUGGUUAAAAUUAACUUUCACCGAUAAACUUAAACUGUCAACCAAUUAUUACGAUACUGGUAUUUUUGCGUUGCUUUUCUCUACUGUUCAAUGUAUAAACAAUAUUAAUCCGUUAAUAACACGAAAUAUGUACGCCGAUGCUGUGUGUUUGAUAAAAGCUAGAAUUGCGAAGUUCUGUAAUCUCUGCACUGCAACGUAAAUAAAUAUAAUCGUAUUCAUUUCAAAAUAUUGGGGAAUAUUUAUGCGAAGGUACAUUUUCAAAAAUGGUUUGUACAUAUUUCUGUUCUAGUUACAAGUUAUGUCUAUAAUUCUAUGACAUUUUGUAUUUAUACACAAAGGAACUUCUAAUAAGGAAUGUCUAACACAUCUUAGACACACAAGAAUGCCAUCGUUUCCUUGUAAACUCCAGAAUAAUCUAAACAGACUAAGAAUAUUCGCGAAAGUUCCUACGGCAAACUGAUAAUAUUCUCGGAUAAGCGAUUAAAAAUAUCCAUACAAAAACUACUAAUAUGCUUGUAGCGUAUUUAUAAGUGCUCGACAAUAUAUCUAUAUAGAUUCCUUCAAUUCAUACAACUCUUAAAUGAAUUCUUAAUUUCUCGUAGAAUACCAUCGGUUAAAAAUCUUAUAACAUACUUCAUAUUACGUUACUACUUGUUAUAGCACGACAAUCAGCGUCGCAUCACUUCGACAGCAACACUGAAAAGUCGGAUGGUACAAGCGUAUCCUUGACAAUGUGUGCUGAAUAUUCGGGUCACAUCCUCGAUCAGACUUCCUUCACCGGUCUAACACGCACACACGAGUAUACGCGUUCAAAGAGGAGACACGUAAGGCCGAUUAGACAGGGAUAUACAAACGUGUUCGGCGAAUUAUAACGAUUUAAAGUAGGACAUGUGCAUGUAUGUCUGCCGUAGCUCUCUUUGUCCACUCUUGCUCUCUUUCUCUUUCUAACCAUUUAGGAAUAAGGGAAAACGACCCUUUGCGAACAGGGAAACAGCUGUUGAGCGGUGAUGAGAAGAGGACGGAGGUCGGGAUUCGGAGAAUGGCAGAGAAGGCAGAUAGAGUGAAAAAAGAGGUUACCACCUGGCUUACCUGAAAACCGACGUCGGUAUACCUGCCCGAGCAUUCUUUUGUGCGGGCCCCGAGGCACGCACCCAUUCCCAUACGGCCAUAUUACAUCCUACAAAACUACAUGGUACAACGUUACUGUCGUGAUGCAGAGAAAGAUGUUUUAGGAAUAUAUUAGACGGUAGAAUGUCCUUGAUACCGUGUACGUAUAUGAAGGUGCUCGUUUUUGCAUCGUCGAUGUCACUGACUUUCGCGUUCCGUGGGACUUUCGCGCAUAAGGUCGAUGCAUAGUUGAUCCAUUCUCGCUCUCGUUAGACUAUACACGACUUUGGGCGAGUCCUAACUUGAUUACACCAUAAUUUAGAACUGGCAGUCAGAUUUUCUUCUAAGGAAGAUUAAGCGUUACACGUUAAAAAAAAAAUUGUUGAUGAUAUCGUUGAUGAUAAAUUCUGAUUCUUUGUAGAAUAUUUCAUUGUGAAGAUAUAAAAUCAAAAGACGUUGGUAUAGGUAGGACGAAGUGUCGUGUGCUUGAAUAAUUCAAGUACGUCUAAUGGCUAAUAUAUUAAAGUGGCAUAUGGUUCGGUUGCACGCGUGUUUCUACUUUUUCUCGCACAGAACCACUCGGUUCAGGGAUCAUUUCGUGCGGCCUCGUUUCCGGCCCGUGUGAAGCCAGAUGCAGUUUCUUUCCCGUUAAGUUUGUCGAAUCCAAGGAAUCGCUGAAUUCUCGUGACCGACCCUUCUCAAUUUUCUGAAUACACACCGAAAAUCCGGGCAGAUGGCAAAUGACAGCGGUACUCAAACCGUUAAUAUUAUCAGCAGCUCGUAACGAAAAGCGAAAUUGGAUUUUAUGAAAGAACAGCUGACAUGCUCGAACCCCUCUUCCAUCGUCCAACACGAUUUUAUCGCGGUUUCGAAACUUUUUUUUCCUGCAAUUGCGAAUAACUCUUUA